GACGAACGCUGGCGGCAGGCCUAACACAUGCAAGUCGAGCGGCGCGGCGGUCGGGGGAGUAAUGCCUAGGAAUCUGCCUGGUCGUGGGGGAUAACGUCCGGAAACUGGAGAUAAUACCGCAUACUAUCAGAUGAGCCUGGGUCGGAUUGGCAAGUUGGUGGGGUAAAGGACUACCAAGGCGAAGAUCCGUAACUGGUCUGAGAGGAUGAUCAGUAACACGGGAACUGAGACACGGUCCAGACUCCUACGGGAGGCAGCAGUGGGGAAUAUUGGACAAUGGGCGAAAGCCUGAUCCAGCCAUGCCGCGUGUGUGAAGAAGGUCUUCGGAUUGUAAAGCACUUUAAGUUGGGAGGCGUUACCAACAGAAUAAGCACCGGCUAACUUCGUGCCAGCCGCCGCGGUAAUAC
rnacentral:rRNA from 1 species